GAUGAACGCUGGCGGCGUGCCUAAUACAUGCAAGUAGAACGCUGAAGGAGGAGCUUGCUCUUCUGGAUGAGUUGCGAACGGGUGAGUAACGCGUAGGUAACCUGCCUGGUAGCGGGGGAUAACUAUUGGAAACGAUAGCUAAUACCGCAUGACAACAGUUAUUGCAUGAUAACUGUUUAAAAGGGGCAACUGCUCCACUACCAGAUGGACCUGCGUUGUAUUAGCUAGUUGGUGAGGUAACGGCUCACCAAGGCGACGAUACAUAGCCGACCUGAGAGGGUGAUCGGCCACACUGGGACUGAGACACGGCCCAGACUCCUACGGGAGGCAGCAGUAGGGAAUCUUCGGCAAUGGACGGAAGGCUGACCGAGCAACGCCGCGUGAGUGAAGAAGGUUUUCGGAUCGUAAAGCUCUGUUGUAAGAGAAGAACGAGUGUGAGAGUGGAAAGUGCACACUGUGACGGUAUCUUACCAGAAAGGGACGGCUAACUACGUG
rnacentral:rRNA from 1 species